UAAGGAGCACCAAACACUUGAUCAGUUUCCGCAUGGUUUCUGGUGUGAGUGUGAGGAGUUAAAUCCCAUUGCGAGAACAUUCGUUUCUCGGUGGGUGCUCAAGGGUGGAAUAUCAACAAAUUUAUGCUGAAGUGCUGGUUUUCUGGUGCGGAGGUGUUGUCGCUGGUUCUGUUCUCGGAUUGUUGGUUGAGUACGCUGUUUCCUUCGGGGAGUGGUUGGAAAGAUUCGAUGGUUUGGGAGGUUCUGGUGGGUACAAAACACACUGUUGGGUCCUGAGAUAACAGGCGCUCUGCUGAUUCUGGUACUGACUUUUGGUUGGUGUUGGAGGUCGGUGGGGUGUGUUUGUUGUUUCUGGUUUCCCUUCUUACUAAUCAAUCCUUUUCCGUUUGUUCGGUGGGUUGUGUGUGGGAGUGGGUGUUGUUGUUUGAGAACUGUAUAGUGGACGCGAGCAUCUUAAGAACAAAGCAAUUUGUUUAAGAGCAAUUUUUUCAUCACAUCUUUUGGUGUGGUGAGAGUUUUAGCUCUGGUUUUUGU
rnacentral:misc_RNA from 1 species